rnacentral:rRNA from 1 species
UACUGCUAUCAGUGUUCGAUUAAGCCAUGCGAGUUAAAUGUUCUUCGUGAACAUGGCGUACUGCUCAGUAACACGUGGAUAACCUGCCCUAAGGUCCGGCAUAACCCCGGGAAACUGGGGAUAAUACCGGAUAAACCAUAGAUACUGGAAUGUUCUGUGGUUCAAAGUUCCGGCGCCUUAGGAUGGAUCUGCGGCCUAUCAGGUAGUAGUGGGUGUAAAGUACCUACUAGCCGACGACGGGUACGGGUUGUGAGAGCAAGAGCCCGGAGAUGGAUUCUGAGACAUGAAUCCAGGCCCUACGGGGCGCAGCAGGCGCGAAAUCUUUACAAUGCGGGAAACCGCGAUAAGGGGACACUGAGUGCCAGCAUAUUAUGUUGGCUGUCCACCUGUAUAAAUCACAGGUGUUAGCAAGGGCCGGGCAAGACCGGUGCCAGCCGCCGCGGUAACACCGGCGGCCCGAGUGGUAGCCACUAUUAUUGGGUCUAAAGGGUCCGUAGCCGGUUUGAUCAGUCUUCCGGGAAAUCUGACAGCUCAACUGUUAGGCUUCCGGGAGAUACUGUCA